GUCGGCGUCGCACAGUCCGGAAGUGCGGGAGCCUGUCAAUCUCUUAACUGAGUACCUCAGUUUCGUGGGUUCAAAUCCCACCGCCGACG
rnacentral:tRNA from 1 species